rfam:Hordeum vulgare subsp. vulgare, WGS project CAJW01000000 data, contig: morex_contig_2632784
UAUAUACUCCCUCCGUCCCAAAAUUAUUGUCAUAGGUUUGUCUAAAAAUGGAUGUAUCUAAAUACCAAAACAUGUCUAGAUAGAUUCAUAUCUAGACAAGACUAAGACAAUAAUUUUAAGAUGGGGGAGUACUAC